UACAUCCAAAGGUUAGAUAUCUUCCAGCCAGUUGAGGUCUAGUCUUAUCUUUUCGGUACCUUCAACCAGUUGAGGUCAUAUGUCUUUCAAAUUUUCUCUAACUCUGUUGAAGUGUCAACCAAGCCCUGCUUCAACUCUGGGAAAGUCUUCUUCCCAUUUUUGAAUUAAGAUGCCUUGGACAACAAUACAUCAUGCUCAUUCCUUUAUCUUUGUUUCGUCUUUUUUUUUCGAAAAGGUAAUGUUAAUGGAUGCUGCAAUAAUACAUCCAAAGUUUGGAUCUCUUCCAAGCAAUUGAGGUCUGAUGUUAUCUUUUCGGUAGCUUUGAGAGAUCCUCUUAUUGUUUUAACAAUUGGCGCUGCCUGUGGGAAGAAGCAACAAUGGGUGGAACCACAAAGUUCGAUAUUGAAAAGUUCAAUGGAUCAAAUGACUUUGGCCUUAGGAAGAUAAAGAUGCAUGUUGUUUUGGUACAACAAGGUUUGGUGAAUGCAUUGAAGGGUGAAUAAGCUCCUCCCACAACAAUGACUACUCAUGAAAAGCAAGAACUGAUUGAAAAAGCAAAAAAGUACUAUUAUCUUGUGUCUUGGAGAUAAAACUUUGAGGGAAGUUGCAAGAGAACCAACAGUAGCAGCCUUGUGGCUUAAACUUGAGUCUCUCUAUAUGACUAAAUCAGUUUCAAAUAGGCUCUUCUUGAAACAUCAAUUUUCUCUUUUAAAAUGGAUGAAGAGAAACUUGUUACAGUAUAAAUUGUUGAUUUUAAUAAGAUUCUUGAUGAUUUAGAAAAUUUAGAAGUCAAGUUAGAUGAUGAAGACAAAGCUCUGAUACUGCUUAAUGUCCUGCCAAGUUCAUAUGAACACUUCAAAGAUGCUAUCAUGUUGGAAGAGAACAAACAAUAACUCUUGAAGAAGUUCAUACCUCUAUCCAUACAAAGGAAAGCUAUAAAAGACACAAGAUCAAGAAUGAAAGUCAUGCUGAAAGUAUUAAUGUUACUAGAGGAAGAACUGAAAAGAAAGGAUCAAAUGGAAAUAAGCAUAGGUCCAAUUCAAGAACUAAAUCUGAAGGGAAGUAUAAAUGCUUUCAUUGCCACAAGAAGGGACAUUUUAAGAAAGAUUGCUCUGAAAGAAUGGAAUCAAGAAACUCUCAAGGUUUUGGAAAUGUUGCAAUUGUUAAUGCUGGUUAUGAAUCUCCAAAGGCCUUGAUGAUUUCGAAUUAUGAAGAUGAAAAGAACUAGGUAUUAGACUCAUGAUGUACUUUUCACAUGUGUCCAAGACAUGAUUAUUUUGAAUCAAUAGAUCUUCAUGAAGGUGGAGUUGUUUUUCUUGGCAACAACAAAUCAUGCAUGGUACAAGGAAAAUGAACAAUCAAAUUCAAAAUGUUCAAUGGCAAAGAGGUAUUACUAUAGGAUGUAAGGUACACACCUGAACUAAAAAGAAAUUUAAUUUAUGUUGGCAUGUUUGACAUAUUAGGAUAUCCCACAAAUAUAAAGAAUGGUAUCAUGACUAUUAUUAAUAAAGAUGAUAUCAUUGUUAAAGGCAUAAAAAGAAAUUGCUUGUACAUUUUUUAUGGUUCUACUAUAAUUGCACAAGCUUCUGUUGCUAGCUCUAGUUUGCAUUCAUCUACUAGAAUAUGGCAUAUGAGGUUAGGAUAUGUAAGUGAAAAAGACUUAAUUGAGUUAUCAAAACAAAAUUUGCUUAAUGGUGACAAAAUUGAAAAAUUGGAAUUUGUGAUCAUUGUAUUCUAUGAAAAUCUAAGAGGAUUAGUUUUGGUGUUGGUAACACAAUACCUUUAGACCUUUUGAAUAUGCUCAUUCUGAUUUGUGGGGUCCUUCAAGGAAAAAGACUCAUCUAGGUUGUUCUUAUUUCCUCACCAUCAUUGAUGAUUAUUCUAGGAAAGUAUGGAUCUAUGUCAUUAAAAAUAAAAGUGACACUUUUAUGAAAUUUAAAGAAUGACACAUGCAAAUUGGAACUCAAAAGGAAAUUAAACUGAAAUGUUUAAGAACUAGCAAUGGUCUAGAAUAUCUUUCAGAGCAGUUUAAUAAGUAUUGCAGGGACUUAGGUAUUCAAAGAUAUAUAACAUUUUUAGACACCCCUCAACAAAAUGGAAUUGCUGAAAGGAUGAACAUAACAAUUUUGGAAGGGUCGGAUGUAUGAUCUUGAGUGCAGGUCUUCCUAAAGCUUUAUGAGGAGAAGCUGCAGUUACAUCAGUGUACUUGAUCAAUAUAUUCCCUUCACUAGCUAUUGGAUUUAAGACACCAAUUGAGAUGUGGAAUGGAAGACCUACUAACUACUCAAAUCUGAAGGUAUUUGGCUCUUUAGCAUUUUUUCACACAAGGCAAGAUAAAUUGGAUCCUAAAGCAAUCAGAUGUGCUUUCAUUGGAUAUCCUAAAGGAAUAAGAUGUUACAGUUGUGGAGAAUUGACCAAGGUGUGCCUAAGUGCAUCAUAUAAAGAGAUAUAGUAUUUGAUGAAACAAGAAUGGCCAUGAUAAGGAACAUCAACAAGACAAUGCUUCAAAUAGCAAUACUAAGAGUGUUCAGAUUGAGGUGGAGUCACCUAAAGAUCAAGAGAUUAAUCAUGAAGACAUAACUGAUACACCACUUGAUGGUAAUGUUGAAACUGAAACCAAUUUGGUCAAUUACAACUUGGUAAGGGAUAGAGAAAGAAGGGCUAUCAAGCCUCCAAUUAGAUAUGGUCAAACAUAUUUAAGUGUUGUUGAAGAUCUUCAAAGAGUUGAAUCAAGCAACUACAAGGAAGUCAUUAACAAUAAAGACAAAAAAAAGCUUGGAUAACAGCUAUGAAUGAAGAAAUGCAGUCAUUAGAAAAGAAUCAAACUUGGACUUUGGUUGACAUUCAAGGAAAUGAGAAGAUAGGGUUCAAAGUAAGGUUAGUUGCAAAAGGAUUUUCUUAGCUUGAAGGGAUAGAUUUCAAUAAAGUCUUUGCACCUGUUGUAAAACAUUGUUCCAUCAUAAUUCUGCUUUCAAUUGUAACCCAACAAGACUUGGAAUUAAAGUAGCUUGAUGUUAAAACAA